rnacentral:rRNA from 1 species
GAUGAACGCUAGCGGCAAGCUUAAUACAUGCAAGUCGAGGGGCAGCAUGACUGUAGCAAUACAGUUGAUGGCGACCGGCAAACGGGUGCGGAACACGUACAGAACCUUCCUUCGAGCGGGGAAUAGCCCAGAGAAAUUUGGAUUAACACCCCAUAGUAUUACGGAGUGGCAUCACUUUGUAAUUAAAGAUCUAUCACUUGAAGAUGGCUGUGCGGCUGAUUAGAUAGUUGGCAGGGUAACGGCCUACCAAGUCUACGAUCAGCAACUGGUGUGAGAGCACGACCAGUCAAACGGGCACUGAGACACGGGCCCGACUCCUACGGGAGGCAGCAGUAAGGAAUAUUGGUCAAUGGACGAAAGUCUGAACCAGCUAUGCCGCGUGGAGGAUGAAGGCCCUCUGGGUUGUAAACUUCUUUUAUAUGGGACGAAAAAGGGCCUUUCUAGGUCAACUGACGGUACCAUGUGAAUAAGCACCGGCUAACUCCGUGCCAGCCGCCGCCGUAAGAC